AGUAACCAAUUACCAAAAUUUGGGUAGUCAUUACAAUUAUAUUAGUAGCCAAAACUAGAAAUCUUAAUUCAGUUCAGUGGUAACAUUGAUACAUUUUUCCCCUCACAGGCUUUAAUGUGGUCUGGAUCUCCCAGAGUGAACUCAGGCAAGGAGCUGUUGUACUCUCACACCCGCGUGUCUGUGUCCCGACACCCUCAGCACAACACCUUCACACUGUCACUCAGAAACAUCAGCAGCAGUCAGCGCUCCAACUACUCACUGAACACAGAGUGGCAGGUAGGAAACUGGAGUGUGGAAUUGGCCUGCAGUUCCCUGUCUUUAGGCAGGAAUGUGGCAAUCCAGGUUCAUGCAAAACUAGACCACAGUGAGAUGCUAUUGCAGCAGGGGGCGCUGGGAAAACUCUGGUUCAAGCUGCUGCUGGAUAUGACACGGAAAUGUCUGAUGAUAUCAGAGCGGUAUUCUGUUUGGAGGGACAUGACUGGUUUACCCUGGAGGCUCAGUGAGACCCUUACCCUUAUUUCUGAAGGAGCUGCCAAUCAGAGUCUGCUUUUUCAAGCUAAGGGAUACAGGGAAUGCCUGUGGGCCAUGGAGGCAAGCCUCCAGCAGCUGGGGUCUAGGAUAAGGAGUUAA
ensembl:lncRNA